UUUCAGCUCGUUGGUUGUUCAGACGGAGAUCAAGUCGAAGAUAACUGGAAGUGCAAACGACCACGUUGAAAAAAAUUGGGAUUUCAUGGAAAAAAAAAUAGGUAUUGAGCAUUAAAGUCUGCAGUGUAAACGUAGCCGUAGAAUUGUUCAGCAAUGGUGGUGGAGAAAGUGAAGGAAGCCUUUCAGUCCGUAUUAGCCAACACUUCCAAAUACUGAAUUAGCAUUAGCACCGCCCCGUUCAGAUCGGCUAUUUUCUCUUCAAUGGGUAAUGGUUGUUCACAGCUCAGGCAGCUUGAGCUGAAGCUGAGCCAGAUGAACUGGAGAACGUCUGUGAAUAGUUGCUCAUCCCUUCUGAACUGGAUAUGCUCCGGGAACCCCAAGGACGAUCUGGAUUUCCUUCUUGAAGCACGUACUAUGCGACGUGAUCUUGUGGUAAUAACUCCAUCGGGUCUCUGAAGAACGCCAUGCGUGGCAGCUAGAAGAGAAACCUUGCUGAUCUAAAAAACACAAAAUGAAAAAGACUUCUGAGAGAAGACAGACAUAAAAACUA